AUGUCUUGGGAAAUCAAGAACGCCCUCGAGGAGGAUUCUGGGAAACUGACGUUGAGCCUCCUGAGGGGCAUGCGCGAGGGUGGCUACUAUCCGACUUGGAACCACGGCCAUUUUGGCUCUGCGGCCCAUGUAUUCCUAUCCCCUGGUUCCAGUCUAGGUGGUCCAGGCUCUGUUCUAACAGGGCAUUUGUUCUGUAAUUCUGCAUUAUUAGUUCUCCGCUUCCUCCCAGAGGAGACUCAGAAAUGGGAGACAGUUGUAUUGAAAACUGCACAUUACUUCAGAUCAACAGGAGGAUGAACACUCUGGUACACGGGAUGAUUAUUUAGAUUAUCAUCCUGGUAUGGAGAUCAAUGGAAGAUAUUUGAAGAACACUCUUCAAUUCCCA
rnacentral:lncRNA from 1 species